rnacentral:pre_miRNA from 1 species
CAACUACUCCCUCUGUCCCAAAUUUCUUGUCUUAGAUUUGUCUAGAUACGGAUGUAUCUAAUACUAAAAUGUGACUUGAUACAUCCGUAUCUAGACAAAUCUAAGACAAGAAUUUUGGGACGGAGGGAGUACUNN